UAUAUCCUACGGGGCGCAGCAGUGGGGAAUAUUGGACAAUGGGGGAAACCCUUAUCCAGCGACGCCGCGUGAGGGAAGAAGGUUUUCAGAUUGUAAACCUCUGUCAGUGGGGACGAUAAUGACGGUACCCACGGAGGAAGCCACGGCUAACUACGUGCCAGCAGCCGCGGUAAUACGUAGGGGGCGAGCGUUAUCCGGAAUUACUGGGUGUAAAGGGAGCGUAGACGGCGAGGUAAGCCUGAAGUGGAAGCCCGCGGCCCAACCGCGGAACUGCUUUGGGAACUGUUUUGCUGGGGUAUGGGAGG
rnacentral:rRNA from 1 species